GCCUGUUUAUCAAAAACAUCUUUUCUUGUUUAUUUAUUUGAGAUUUGACCUGCUCUAUGAUUUAUUUAAUGGCCGCGGUAAUUUGACCGUGCAAAGGUAGCAUAAUCAUUAGUCUAUUAAUUGUGGACUUGUAUGAAUGGUUGGACGAAAUAUUGACUGUCUCGUUAUUAAAUAUUUAAUUUAAAUUUUGAGUUAAAAUGCUUAAAUGUUUUUAUAGGACGAGAAGACCCUUUAGAUCUUAAAUUAUUUAUUUUUAAUUUUAUUUUAGUUAUUAUUUAUUUAUUAGGAUUAUUUAU
rnacentral:rRNA from 1 species